rnacentral:rRNA from 1 species
UACGUAGGGGGCAAGCGUUGUCCGGAAUCAUUGGGCGUAAAGAGCGUGUAGGCGGCCAGAUAAGUCCGCUGUGAAAUCUCGAGGCUCAACUUCGAGCUGUCGGUGGAAACUGUCUGGCUAGAGUCCGGAAGAGGAGAAUGGAAUUCCUGGUGUAGCGGUGAAAUGCGCAGAUAUCAGGAAGAACACCCAUGGCGAAAGCAGCUCUCUGGGACGGUACUGACGCUGAGACGCGAAAGCGUGGGGAGCGAACAGG